AGGUUUGAGGCUAAAUUAUUGAACUCGUGUUAUUUAAAAAUCCAUAACUUCGUAACGAAAGAUCGUAUCAGAUUAAUUUUUUUCUGGAAAUGUUUUUAAAAGACGAUUCUACACCACUAUAUGAUUGAAAAUAUGUUUCGACCUCUGAACUCAAGAUGGGAAAAGAAGAGCCUAUCUAAAUAGUGUAUUAAAAUGGCCUCUCCAGCAUGCACGGUACGUAGAUAUGAAGAGAAAAGUUGACUGAAAGAUACAAGAAACUGAUAUCUUAAACAACAUUCAACCACAAUGAAAAAUAUAUUUUAUAUUAUAUAAUGAAAAAAAAUGAAUUCAUCGCUCUGUAUCGCCAUUUAGUGUGAACUGUGAACCAAUCUGCAAGAAGCCGAGAUGAUUUUUAGAUUUAUUUUAACGUAAUCAAAGUAUCAGAAACGUGUCAGAAUAUUAACAUAUGAAGAUAAUAUCUUUAACAGUAAAUCAAAUACGCAAUUGACUGAUGAAUUAGAUAGGCCUAUGGUAUAUGUAUUAAUAAAUUUAUUCUGUAUGCUGGCAAAGAAUGGUACAGAGACAAGAAGACUGGAGUUAUGAUUUCACUGCUAGAUGUGGAUUCAAGAUGAAUGCAAGAUUCACCUGAUAAUGAUUACGAUAUGAAGAGAAGAGUUCACUGAAAGAUACAGGAAACUAAUGUUUUAAUGUUAUUCAACCACAAUGAAAAAUAUAUUUUGUAUUAUAAUAAUCAUAAAAAAAUGAAGUCAUCGAUCUGUAACGCCAUCUACUGUGAACCCAUCUGCAAGAAGCCGAGAUGCUAUUAAGAUUUAUUAUAGAAGGAAUCAAAGUAUUAGAAAUGUGUCAGUAAUGUCAACAUAUGAAGACAAUAUCUUUAAUACAGUACAGUAAUUCAAAUACGUAAUUGAUUGAUGAAUUAGAUAGGCCUAUGGUAUAUGUAUUAAUAAAUUUAUGCUGUAUGCUGGCAAAGAAUGGUACAGACAAGAAGACUGGAGGUAAGUGGGUUGGUUAUUUACUCAAAGAUCUUAUAACAAAAUAGCGCUCUCACCUAUUUGUAAGCGUAAUGCAUGAAAGACUCGUAAAAUUGCACCUUCUGCAAAAGAUAAUACAAAGCGAAACUUACUGUACUGUAUUUACUGUACUGAAUUUUAUAAAUGGCGCUCCCUCCAAAAACCUAUCUGUACUCGGGGGGGGGGGAAUUUUCAAGUAACUGGGAAAGAAAUUGAAAAGCCAAAUUUGUUUUAUUAAAUUUUAUAUAGCCCUCCCUUCAAAAAAUGAAAAAUGCAAAGCCAAAUUAGUUUACUGAAUUUUAUAUAGAGCUCAUUACAAAAACCUUAUUUGCACACGUGCACUAAAAUCUUUCAUUGACGAUCUGAGAAAAAGUGACUAACUUUCAUAAAACUGCUCCCUGUGCAAAGAAAUGUGUACGAAGCCAAUUUUGUUUACUAAAUUAAGAUUUGGUUCCUCCAAUAAUUUGUUAGUUGCAUAAUUCAUGGGAAAUUUCAUGAGACUGCCAAAAAAUUGUUUACUUUAUUUUAUAUAGCGCCCCCUCCAAAACUUAUUUGUACGCAUAAUAAAAUCUGAACUGCAUGUUGCAAAAAUACUAUUGCGAGUCUGUUACAAGAUCUUUGAGCUACAUUGCAUUAGGUGCCCCUAAAUUAAAUGAGGGCGCUGUUGACGGUAAAGAGCGCCCUCUAUGGAGAUAGAGGGCACUCUAACGUGAGCAGUGCCUCAUUUGAUUUGGGGGCGCUAUUUAAUGCAGGAACCCUCUAAAUAAAAUGAGGGAUUUUAUUUAGGGGGCGGUAUAUUAUAUAAAAAUUAUAAUGAUACAAGGAACAAAUAAAGGCAAGAGAAUUUGAA